GAUGAAGAACGUAGCGAAAUGCGAUACGUAAUGUGAAUUGCAAAUUCAGUGAAUCAUCGAGUCUUUGAACGCACAUUGCGCCCCCUGGUAUUCCGGGGGGCAUGCCUGUCCGAGCGUCAUUGCUGCCCUCAAGCACGGCUUGUGUGUAGGGCCCCGUCCUCCGAUCCCGGGGGACGGGCCCGAAAGGCAGCGGCGGCACCGCGUCCGGUCCUCGAGCGUAUGGGGCUUUGUCACCCGCUCUGUAGGCCCGGCCGGCGCUUGCCGAUCAACCCAAAUUUUUAUCCAGGUUGACCUCGGAUCAGGUAGGGAUACCCGCUGAACUUAAGCAUAUCAAUAAGCGGAGGA
rnacentral:misc_RNA from 1 species